rnacentral:lncRNA from 1 species
GGUGGAGUGGGUGCGGUGCUGGAACAGGCAGGAAAUAGCUGAGCAGCUGAAUGGACUCACAAGAAUGCUUUGCCAACUCCCCAAGGCUGGGGCAAAGGCGCCGGCUGCCCCCUCCUCCCAGCCCUGCACAGCGAGGUGUCUGGCCUGGCAGUGCCUGGCUGGCCACACUGUCCUCCUCGGUUCUGCCUGGGGCUGAAAGGAGCAGGCCACGGGGCUAGGAGGAGAAUGGUGGUUCCUACAGGGGCGUGAGUGACCGGCUUUGAGGGUGCAGGUUAUGAGGGGCUACAGGAGGUGGACAAGAUUGCCAAGGACCUGGAGUGCUUUUCCUCUUCUGGUUCUUUGUUCCCCAGAGGGCCCUUUGGAUUGACUGGGACCCCCCAGGAGCGGUCGGUCCCACCCUCGGUCGAGCAUGCUGCCAGCUGGCUACUGGAUGUGGGCAGGAGCUGAACACCCCAGGCUUUUUUCAGCCUCCCAUUUGUUCCUUGUAAUACAGGUGCCUCUAAGUGUGUGUGUGGGGGGCUCUCAGGAGAGACAGGAAGCCGAAGCGCAGGAAAGUGAGAAGGGCUGGGGCGUGAGCGCCUUUGAGCCUCCACACCCUCCCCUGUCCUCCCUCGGUUCCACUAUGGCUCUCACCUUUAGAUUCCUCUUGGCUUGAAGGGCUGCCCCUUGCUCUAGUAUAAAACCAGGUGCUCUUGGUCCUCAUUUGUCCCCUUCUCAGGAAAGCUUAGCUCGGGGCUGACAGCUUUGCUUCCCAGGGCAGGCGCACCUCACGCUGGCCCGUGGGUUUCCUCGCUGCGGAGCAGAAGUCUGGCCGCUCUAGCCUUGAAGUGUUGCUGACAUAUCUCUGUCUAUGAACCCCCAGCAGCCAGGCAUGAACUCCCAGCUCAGCAGCUUUACCGUGGGGGCUGUAGCCUCAUGGUUGCAUCUAGCUCCUCAGAUGGACCUGACCCUUGCUGGAGAGGGGUUGACAAGUUGUGGGAAGAAGCUGUGCUCCCAGGUUUUCUCAGGAGCAGGAGACAGCAAAGGGGUCUCACACACAAACUCUUAAUAGCAACCCCAUUUUAUUGGUUAUUUAUUUUACUCCCAUAUAGUAUGUAUUUCAGUAAGUGCAUGCAUGCAUUUAUAUAUACAUGUUUUGAAUCAUUUAAUCCCCAGUACAACCCAAAGAAGAGGUACUUUCCCACUUCAUGGACAAGAAGCUGAGGCCCAGAGAAGGGAGAUACGCUGUCCUCGUGGUAGUGAUGUAGUGGGUUCCCUUCUCUGCACUCAAGCCUGGGCAGCUUGGCCUGGAGUCUGCACUCUGACCCGGUACUGUGCUACCUGGGUGAGGAGACUUUGGAGGAGGCCAGAGGGGACCGUGUGGACAAAGGCUGGGAGGCUUGGGACGGUCAGGUAAGGUUGAGAACUCCGAGCACCUAGCUAUUCCUAGAGGGCAGGGGUGACAGGAGAGGAGCUCUGAGGUUUGCCUCACAAGGCAGAGCCUUUGACCUUUGUCCAGCCUCUGCUCCAUGGCCUGAAAAACCACAGGAAAGAGAGAGUGGGCCUUACAAACAAGGCAAAGAAGUAGAUUUACACUGCCUGACUUCCAGAAUUGCUAGACAGCUAGAAUGAUCAGGACAGUGGAAAUACUUAAAGGAUAAAUGUUUAUUUUUUUACACCCCUCCCCAACCCGGUACCAGGGAUUGAACUCAGGACCUUGCACUUGCUAGUCAACUGAGUAAGAAUAAUCCAAUUUUUAAAAUAGGUAAUAUAUUUGAAAAUAUCCUUCCCCAAGGAAGAUAUAUGAAUGGCAAGUAAACACAUGAAAAGAUGUUUAAUCCCUAAAUUAAAAGCAUAGAAACUACAACAUACCUUUUGGAGUGGCUAGGAUAAAAACAAAGAUCUAAUUAUCUUAAGUCCCAGGGAAGGUAUGGAGCAACUGGAACUCACAUAUAUUGCUGGUGUGGAUCCAAAGCGGUACAUCCACUUUGGAAAAUGGUUUGGCAGUUUAGUAUAAAGUUAAAUAUAUUUAUUUAUCAUGUGAUUCAGCAGUGCCAUUUUUAGAUAUUUACCAAGGGAAAUGAAAAGUUAGGUCCACACAAACAUUUUUUACAAAUAUUUAUAAUGGCUUUAAUCAUAAUUAUAAAAAUCUGGGACAACUCAAGGAUCCUUUGGUUACUGAAUGAAUAGUGUUAUAUAUCCAUAUAGUGCAAUACUACUUAUCAAUGAAAAUGAACUUCUGAUAUAUACAGUGACAUGGAUGGAUCUCACGUGCCUUAGGCUAAGCAAAAGAUGACAGGCUUUAGACUCCUUUGAUAGGGCAUUUUGGAAAAGUCAAAACUAAAGAGAUAACACAAUGAGUGUUUUUGAGGGGCUGGUACAAGAGCCUGAUUAUAAGGAAGCACUGGAAAACCUGGGGGUGACGUACCUCAGUUCCAUUUCUCUAUUGUGGUGAUGGUAACAUGAAUGCAUGCAUUUGCUAAAACUCAUAGAAUUACAGUUUAAUUUUUUUUUUUUUACUGUGUGUAAAUUCUUGUUUAAGAAACCUGACCUAAUAAACUCUGCAAUGCAAGUAGCUUGCAAGGCAUAAGCAGAGGUCAGAAGACCCACCCAGGGGCUCAUUGGUAGUUGCCAUCCUGCCUCCUCAGACCCUGCCUUCCCAUCCCCGAGGCCUCAGCAAGCUCCUACAGAAACCUCACUCCCUUUGGCUCCCCCUGGUCAGAAAGGGAACAUUAAUGAGCUCCUCGUUUGGGGUUCUGAGGCUCUUGUCUUUAUUAACUGCAAGUGCCCCUGAAGCACCACUAGCUUAAGUUGAGGGAGGCCCUAGCAGAAUGACAGAGGGAGAGGGUGGGAAGGGAGAAGUCUUCCCAGAGGCUGGAGAAGGGUGGGGUGGGGUUAUCCUUCAGUUUGGUUCCUGGCACUGGGCUCUUUCCAUGCGCCAUAGCAUGUUGAGGGCAGGCUUAGGAGCUCCAUGCAAGGUACCCUUGUUACUCCCCCCAUCUUGGUCUUUGGCUCAGACUUCAAAGUGUUGCCUCCUCACCCCCACCUGGAAGCCAUAGUCCCCACCUGGGCUUCCUUCCCUAGCAACUUCUUCCUCUAUCUCCUAAUUGCCCUGACAGGUUAGGGGAUUACUUUUUUGUGGCAACUAAACUCAGCCUUCUCUGGGCAUAUUUCUACUUCCCUGGGUCUUUUGGGUUUGGAUGUUUCUGUCUUGCAGGAAGUUUCCUCAUCAAUGGGAGGAGCACAGUGCUCCUUCUGAGUAGGUGUCAGUGGUCUUGCCAAGCAGAUGAUGAAGUAGGAGGAGGAGUGCCUGGGACAUCUGAUUGGACACUGUAACUAAGAAGUGUAUCUUGUGUAGAAAAUUUUCUUCAGAAUGUUCAUAUAUCUUCCCAUCACAGGGUCUUUGAACAUGCCAUUCCUGUCUCUGGGGUGCCUCACCUUUUGAAGUCCUGUUUAACUCCCAUUUACUGUGCAUUACUGAGGACACAGAAAUAAAUAAGACAAGGGUCUUUAUGUUAAAGAAGACUGGCCUCGGGAGAAGAGUAGUGAUAAUUAUAGUAAUGAUAAUAAUAACAGUGGCACUAACAAUGGCAGGACCAUCUAAGGAGCACUUACUAUGUGCCAGGUGUUCAUGGCACCAGGACAUUCAACCUUCACCACAGUCCGCCAAGUUGUCAUUGUUAUCACUCCCAUUUUAUGAAAGAGGGAACAGGCUUUGUGAGGUCAAGCCACUUGCUGACCUGGUAGAUGGCAGGGUCGGAACAAAAGUUCAAGGCUCUUGGACUGCAAAGCCAUGUUUAUGGCUACAGCAUUGUCCUACCGCACCCGACAGAGCCCCCUUCUGCCCUGUAUGAAGGAGGGUUGUCGUCUAACGCAACUUGGUAGGUCCCUAAUUUGGCUUGCCACAGAAGGAGAAGCAAAAAGACAUUGGUAUAUCCCAUAGGACGCAGGCUAUAGCGACCAGGCAGGGGCGUGGCAUAUGCUGUUCCCUGGGCCCCCACCUUCCACCCAGGAUUCUUCCCAUCCACUGCUUUCAUGGACAGGGGCAUUUCCCAAGGUUCGAAGAAUAGAGCAGUCUGCUGGGGGCAGGGGUGAUCAGGGCUUCAGCAAGGUACUCUGAGGCAUGAACUUCCCCACUUGGUGCUCUUGUACUACAUUCUUUGGACAGAGGCAGGGCGUGUACUUGAUGUUCAGCCCACAGCAGACCAAUAAGUCAUCCUCAGGCUCCCAGCAUCCUGGUUGGGCUCUGCUGUCUAGUAAACCGAAGACAGUAAUUGAUGAAUAAUUUGGGCAUGAUAUGAGGUAACAGCAAUGGUUGAUGGACUGGGGGCUGACUCACUCUGAAGGCCUUGAGUCAGACCCAUGGUAUUUCCUUAGGUCAGAUGAGGCUGGAUUCCCCGAGACACCUCUCUCUGUGGCUGAACUGGAGAUAUGGGCUCUGGUCAGCAGAAGAUGGGGACUUGCUGAUGGGACCUGAGGCCAGUGAGAGAAAAACUUUUAGUUCAGGAGAUUGUGUUGUGGGAGCUGUGACUUCUUCCAAGGGCUUGUACGACAAAGGGGAAGAGGAGGCCUGUCCAAGGGAGAGGGGAUGGCUGUUGAGUGCACAGAAAGAAGUAGGAACAUGCAGUGGAGGCCCAGAAAACACAGAUGGAAAAGAUAUAAAAUAGGAUCCUUGAGUAAGGUUAGAUUUCUCCCAACCCUUCUCCUGAGCUGGGUAGAGGAGAAGGAAAACCGGGAAACAAGUUUCUGGCUGUAGACAGACUUUGGAAAGGCCCAUGCUCCAUACCUUCAGUGCAGUUGCCUUAAAAGUGACCUGGAAGAUGGGCAUUAUGGUCCAUGUAAUCCCGGCAUUCUGGGGGGCUGAGGCAGGAAGAUCAUAAGUUCAAGCUCAUCCUGGGCAAUUUAGCAACUUUGUGAGACCUUGUCUCAUGUAAAAAAUAAAAAUGGGCUGGGGAUGUAGCUUAGUGGGAAGGUCCUGGGUUCAAUCCUUGGUAUCAUAAAGGAAAAAUAAAAAUGAUGAGAGCAGACCAGGCUGACUGCCCUGGCAACCAGGCAGUCAGCAGGCCCUUCCUCUGGCCUCAGGGCUCUCAGGGCUCCCCAGAAAAGCAGCCAGGAUGAUGCCCCAGUCAGCUGUCUAAGGACAGUAUGCUCUGUUUCUUUCCCUCUUCCUCCACAACCUCAGAGCAUCCUCAGCUUGGGGGCUUGAAAGAGGGUGGAGUGGAACACAGCGCUGGACUGUUCUCUUUUUUGUUUUUGUUUUCUUUUGGUUGUCAAAUGAUUCUUCAUGAAAAUAUUGUCCUUUGUAGUUUGUAAGUGGGUGGACAUCCCAUCACACCAUUGUCAAUGCCGUUUAUGAAGUAGUGAGGGUGGCACCAGCAACAUGGAAACGCACAGGAGGGACAGACCCCUAAUGGUUCCAGAGAGCUACUUGGUUAAAGAGCAGUUUCUUGAGGGCUUUGGUGAUCACUGCACAGACUCCUCUCUCAACACCUAAGCCCACAUUCCUAGCCACUGGACACAUGGACCUGCCUAACAUGACUGCCUCCAAGCUUUUGUACCUGCUGUGCCCUCUGUCUCUGCUAAGCUCCAUGUAUCUUUCAAGCUGAGACUCCCCUGCCUACAGUCUGGAUCCUCAUGGAAAGAGCUGAGCCAUGAUUAUGCAUAUUCCCAGCCUGGCACUGUAACAACUGCAGGCCCUGUAUCUAAUCCCCUAACACUCAGGCAGCACUCAAAGGUCCUGAGUGCCUGAAGGUAAGAAUGAGUAAAUGAAUGAAUGAGCCAGAGGCAAGGUGAGAAAAGGAAACAGACGCAUCCCUUAUGAGGAAAUUGCCUUGUGAUGCCUCUCAUAACCUUAUUCAGGCUGCCCUCUCCAGAGGUCAAUUUUUGGGCGCUGCUUCUCCUCUUCUCACCCCUCAGUGAUAGGCCAAAGAUGCUGGGUAUUUGCCCCGCCUCUUCCAAGUAUUGCUCGUAGGCAGCUUGCUGGUGGUCCCCAGGCAGCCCAAUGCAGGACUUGUCAGUAGGCAGGCACUUAAUGCCCCAGAAGCCUAGGAAUUCUGUCCAUGUUAAACCAGGGGAAGAACCGCACAGUCUGCAGGGAGAUCAAAGGGUUCCAGGCUCUGGGGAAUGAGGAGGUAUCAUGGUGACAGUUGAAUC